rfam:Pelodiscus sinensis unplaced genomic scaffold scaffold5800, whole genome shotgun sequence.
GCUUCUGUGGUGUAGUGGUUAUCACAUUUGCCUAACACCCAAAAGGUCCCUGGUUUAAAGCCAGACAGAAACA